UAAACAUAAAUAUAAAUCCUUAUAACUGACAGAAAUAAAUAUAACUAAUAAUAAUUUAUAGUUACUGUGCAGAUUUUUAAGUAUAUUUUAUUUUUAUAGUUGAUUGCUGAAGGCUCUGGGUGAGCUUUAUUUUUCUGUGGUAAAGAAGGGGGAUCAAUCGCGCAAAGCUUUUUUCCACCGCCAAGGUAGAAACUUAUAAAUUUACCUGAACACACAUCAUUUCCAGACCACCACGCCAAUCACCGUUAAAUUUAUCCAAAUGUCCAACGCUAUUUUAAGGACGCGUGAAAUGCCUUAAAAUAGACUGUUGACGGGUGGCAACGCGCCACGCUACACGCCUUGCACGGGGUGUAUGAUAGGACCCUUUGUCUAUAUGCAAAAAGUAAAAAAAAAAAGUUAAUUCAGCUGCUAAAGUAAAGUGCAGUAACGGGGUGUCGGAAAUGGUAACGGCGUUAUAGUUACAGUCAGAGUAAUUAGUUAGAUUACUCGUUACUAAAAAAAUAACGGCGUUAGUAACGUUGUUUAUUAUAAAGCCGUUACUACCAUCACUGCUAAUAAUACAGCUGAGCUGAGCGAAACGAUUCGGGGCUACUGAAAGCCCAGGCCAGGUGACGCCCCUGUGUAUUAUCAUACAUGAACAAACAGCUCUUACAGAAAAUAACGACUAAUUUUCCGGCAUUGAUUUGGUGCCUCCUCUAGUGCAGCGCCCCUAUGCGUCGCAUACGCUGCAUACCCCCUUUUUGCGCCACAGACUAAUUCUCUUAAUUAAUCAUGGGUGUAUUUUUUCAGUGUGACAUGAAAUCAGCGUGUCAUGUGCCAUUUCCUUUAAGAUCCAGGUGUGCUCAAACUUUGGUGGAUUGCUAUUUUAAUGGUGCAGCCAGAAAUUGACCUAAACACACCUCAUUUCCAGACCGUUGCUAUUUAAACGAUGUCAACGAUUGUUGGCAAUGUGUAAGAAAGCAAUAAGCAUCGCAACACGCCAUGCACAGGGUGUGAGACAAGGUCCCUAAAUUGUACUUAUACUUACCGGCCACUUUAUUGUAAAAACCUGUAAUCCUGUACUUCUACGAACUGGCCAAUUUAUUAGAAACACAUGCUUAAACAAAGUUUCAACACACACACACACCAGUGAAGUAACACUUUAAAUUUAGGUCACAAUAUAUUGGAUAGGCUGAAAAUUCCCCCCCACCAUGAAAGAUACAUCAAACAUGUUAGCAGAGGGACAAAAAUACAGUAGGUGUUUCUAAUAAAGUGGCCAGUGAGUAGAGGGACAAACAUUUUAGUAGGUGUUUCUAAUAAAGUGGCCAAUUAGUAGAGGAACAAAGGUACAGUGGGUGUUUCUAAUUAAGUGGCCAGUUAGUAGAGGGACAAAGGUAGUAGUAGAUGUUUCUAAUAAAGUGGCCAGUGAGUAGUAGGACAAAUGUAGUAAUAGGUGUUUCUAAUAAAGUGGCCAGUGAGUAGAGGGACAAACGUAGUAGUAGGUGUUUCUAAUAAAGUGGCCAGUGAGUAGAGGGACAAACAUAGUAGUAGGUGUUUCUAAUAAAGUGGCCAGUGAGUAGUAGGACAAAUGUAGUAAUAGGUGUUUCUAAUAAAGUGGCCAGUGAGUAGAGGGACAAACGUAGUAGUAGGUGUUUCUAAUAAAGUGGCCAGUGAGUAGAGGGACAAACAUAGUAGUAGGUGUUUCUAAUAAAGUGGCCAGUGAGUAGUAGGACAAAUGUAGUAAUAGGUGUUUCUAAUAAAGUGGCCAGUGAGUAGAGGAACAAAGAUACAGUAGGUGUUUCUAAUAAAUUGGCCAAUUAGUAAAGGAACAAAGGUACAGUAGGUGUUUCUAAUAAAGUGGCCAGUGAGUUGAGGAAGAACCCCACCCUCAGUGAGAGCAGUAGGUGUAAGGAUGGCUGUGGAACAGCAGGAAGUUGUGUGAGUUCACCUGAGCUAAAAUUACACCUGCCUCCAUACAAAACAGCCAAGUAGGUUACGGACAUCAGCAUUGAGAAGCUGAACAAUAAGAACAGGCGCAGGCUUUGUAGCGCUGCACGCAGAACCCGGGGGGAAACGGAACCACUUCUGAAACAGUCAGGAAUAAUUCAUUAAUUAAUUUACCAUCAAUAAAUAAUGAACGCCGCUCUCAAAGACGAGCUGCAGCCCAUCAGUGUCCAGAGCUGCAGCCUGAUAAAGCUGAUCAGAUCCUGCAGUAUUAAAUAAACAUUCAUUACCAGAUCAUUUUAAUAAUCUACUGCUUGUUAUAGAGAGUGUGUGUGUGUGUGUGUGUAUUGACUUGGACUCUAAAUUGUGAGCUAAUAACUAUAAGUACUUAAAUACAUAAGUUUUAAUCUUGUACCUUAAAUUGCAUUUACUUUCAAUUAAAGUCAAUGUAAAACAAUUUUAGGUAAUUUUGAUUAAAGUCUAAUUAGGCCUGUCACGAUAAUUACAUUAUGGGUUUAUCAUACAAUAAAUUAACAUAAUCUCGGUAAUAUUUGAUAAUAGUUAUAUGGUCUAUUUGUAUGUUUGUUCACAUACAGCUCUGAUAAAAAAUAAGAGACCAUUUAAAAAUUAUGAUGAGUUUCUUUGAUUUUACCAAAUUGAAAACCUCUGGAAUAUAAUCAAGAGGAAGAUGGAUGAUCACAAGCCUUCAAACCAAACUGAACUGCUUAAAUUUUUGCACCAGGAGUAAAGCAGCAUAAAGUUAUCCAAAAUACUGGACAAAAAAAAGUGUGUAAGACUGGUGGAGGAGAGCAUGCCAAGAUGCAUAAAAACUGUGAUUAAAAACCAGGGUUAUUCCAAUAAAUAUUGAUUUCUGACAUUUUAAAACUUUAUGAAUAUUAACUUGUUUUUUUUUUUGCAUUGAGUUUUUUUUUUUUUUUUGCUAUUUCAGCGAUUUCUAAUUUUCUCCAAAUAAAUUUUCUAAAUGUUGUUUAUAGACUUUUUUUAGAAUAAAAUAACAAUGUUCAUUUUACUCAAACAUAAAUCUAUGAAUAGCAAAAUCAGAGAAACUGAUUCAGAAACUGAAGUGACCUCCUAAUUUUUUCCAGAGCUGUAUAUUAAUAAUUAUCAUGACAGGUCUAUUUCUAUUGGACUAUUCAUUAUGAAAUUAUGAAAAGUAUAAAAAGUCACUAUAUCUUUUAAAUUAUGCAGAUUAUCACAAAAGAACUGAUCAGAAGUGACCGUAUGCGCUUAUAUUCUACAAUAUAUAAAAGGUGCCUGAUUGUUUAAGCCUCAAAUAUGUCUAAAAUGUAAAUAUAUACAUCUCAACCUGCCAAACAAACCCAGGACGUGACAGUGAACCUCCACUUAAGCCUCAAAUGAAUUCCAGUCCGUGUGCUGGAGUAGCGCUACCAACUAAACCUGAACAGCAGCUCAACAGCGUGCAGAUCUUACAGACUAUCUAACUGUGACUGUGAGCAGAGUCAUGACGGGUCUCAGAGCAAUGUAAUAUAGUAACAUAAUAAUAAACAGAACUUAUAACAGUAUAAAAACCAAUGGUACACAAUAUGUGUUGUUUAAAUGACUGUAAUUUAUGAUAGAAUAAGGGUACUUUCUUUUAUGACUUAGCGUAAGGGAUACUUUUAUUUUUCUUUUAUUUUCCUGGAGCAUAAACUGUUCCUCAAUCUUAGUUUAGUAGGGAAUAUUUUGGGGCGAAAAUGAUAUUUUAGAUUUAUAAGGAAGCUUACAAGGACCAUGUGUUGACCACAUGUCGAAAAAAACAACAAAAGAAAAAGACGUUAUUACCUAAAAAGAUAUUAAAAUAUUAGAAUUUCAGUUUACACGUUAAUAAAUAUAUUUAAAGUAAAGAUUCCCUCAGUUUUAAUACAUUUUAAUAAAUAAAUAUGUACAGUACAGUAUAUACAUAUACAUAUAUGUACAGUACCAGUCAAAAUUUAGACACACCUUCAUUCAAAUUCAGUGUUUUUUUGUUUUUCAUUAUUUUAAAUUGUUCUGUGUUGUAGAUUAAUACCAAAUCAUCCAAACUAUAAAGAAAAACACUUAUGAAAUUAUUCCGUAAACAUAAAAAGUGUUAAACAAACCAGAAUACGUUUUAUUUUUUAGAUUCAUAAAAAAAAGUAGCACCUCUUGCUUAGAUUAGACAGUUUUGCACAUCUCUGAUGGAUUUUCUCAGUCGGCUUUAUGAGGUAGAGUCAGUUGGAAUUCAGGCUUUCAGUUAACAGCUGUGCUGCUGCACUCAUCAAGAGUUAAUUACUUGAAGUUCUUGUCUCUUAAUGUUAAUGUUUGAGAGCAUCAGUUGUAAAGGUGUGAAGAGGUAGAGUUACAGGUAUACAGUGAAUAGCUCUAUUUUAUUAAUGUUCUAAUCCAUCCGUCUAAAAAGCGCUGCCACUAUGAUCAGAAGAUCGCCGGUUCGAAUCCCGAUCAUGCAGCUUGCCAUCAGCUACCGGAGCCCUGAGAGAGGACAAUUGGCUUUGCUCUCUCUGGGUGGGUGCAGUAGGUGGCGCUCUUUCCCCUCAUCACUCCAAAGGGGGAUGUCGAUCAGCACAAGGCUGCAUCUGUGAGCUGAUGUAUCAGAAUCGAGUCGCUGCGAUUUCCUCCGAGCGUUAGUGCUGUAAUGCUACUCGGCAAUGCUGCAUCAGCAGCAGUUGGAAAAGAGGAGGUGGCUGACUUCACAUGUGUCGGAGGAGGCAUGUGCUAGUUAGUCUUCACCCUCCUGGUGUGUUGGGGCAUCACUAGUGAUACUUUGAGUCCUAAUGAGUGGGUUGAGUAAUGAGUGGCUGUGUAAAUUGGGUAGAAAAUGGGGAAAAAAAUAACAUGAUGAAUGAAAAAUGAUAAAACGGGGCGCCGAGUGGUCCAGCGGUCUAAGGCGCUGCCACUAUGAGCAGGAGGUCACAGGUUCGAACCCCAGCUCAUGCAGCUUCGCCAUCAAGCUGCCGGCAUCAGAGGGAGCAAAAUUGGCCCUGCUCCCUCCGGGUGGGUAGAUGGCGCUCUCUCCCCACAUCACACUCCUAGGGUAAUGUCUGCUGCACAGGGCAUCUGUGAGCUGAUGUACCGGAGCCGAGCCGCUGUGCUUUUCUCCGAGUGCGCUGUGAUGCUGCUCGGCAAUGCUGCAUCAGCAGCAGCUCGAAAAGAAGCAGUGGCUGACUUCACAUGUAUCGGAGGAAACAUGUGCUAGUCUUCACCCUCCUGGUGUGUUGUGGCAUUACUAGUGAUAGGGGGAGUCCUAAUGAGUGGGUUGGGUAAUUGGCCGUGUAAAUUGGGGAGAAAAAUGGGAAAAAUUAGAAAUAAAAUUAUAUAAAAAAAAAAAAAGAAAAAUGAUAAAACUGGCACUCAUCAGGACCGUAAGUUACCAGCCUCAGAAACCGCAAGUUAACUACACCUCAGAUAAGAGCUACCUAAAUGCUUUACAGAGUAUUUUGGUUUGUUUAACACUUUUCCAUGUAGUUACGACAUGAAAAAAAAAAAGAAAAUAAAAACAUUGAAUAAAAAGUUUCAAUAAUUUUGUUUUUCUGGUACUGUAUAUAUAAGUUAUAUGCUAGUGAAGGUGGUCUAGCCCAUCUUAAAUCUUAGUAAUUUCCCAAAAAGUAAGAUACGGAACUGUACUGUACCCUUAUUAACCUAAAGCACAAUGAAACUGUGGUCAGGAGGAUGAUGUACUCCUUCAGUUUACAAGUCUUUAACUGGUAUCUUAGUAAUGAAACUUGUCAUGUGACUUUAUGACUGUGUGUAACUCUAUGCAUCUAAACUCGUCUCACCAUUAGUCACAACGAUUACUCUUAACUUAGUACCCCAAAUGAGUACUUCAGUACUCCAGUACUCUGGUACUCCAUUACUUAAGUAUGUACGGAGAGUACUGUUACUUUUCUUAGUAUGGUCUACUUUUAUCUUAGUAUCUCUGGGUUAGGGCUGCACGAUAUUGGAAAAAAAAUACAUUGCAAAUGUUCUUUUUUCGUCGAUAUAUAUUGCGAUAUUAAACAAUGCAGGGCCCGUGAAGUCACCAGCCCCGCCCCCACAAGCGCACUGUCAGCACCAAGCACUCAAAACCCAAGGAAAACAGCAAAACAACAGUAAUUGGCCCUUUAAUCAGGCAUUUAAAUGGAUUUUUAAAAGGUAAAUAAGAGCGUUUGUUUUUUGGGAUUAAAAGCGUGAAUUCAGCUGUAACUGGAAAUAUCUGUGUUGCAAAACUGUGCUGGACUGAGGUGCACAGCUUUCAACACAUGCGUUUACAAGCACGUGUCCAACCAUGUGGAUGGAGGCCAUGCGGUUACCUCGUGUUUACUCCUGCCCCCCCCUCGCGCUUAAAAAAAAUAAAAAGACAGAUUUUAUCACAUUUUUCAUAUUUGAAAAUGUACAGUAUUACAGCUCACAAUAAAUAUCAGUUUACAGUUUACAGUUUUCAAAUUUGUUGACAGUGACAUAACUUGACUGUGGCAAAUUUUAUGUCAAAUUGUCAAAAAUUCAAAUAUAUUCAUCAAAUUUUUAGUUAAGUUAUUUGCUUUUAAGCAAAAUGUUUGAAAAAUUGAAUUUAGUGACAAUAAUUUGACAGAUCAAAUUUGUAAUAAUUUUAAAUAAAGUUGGGAAUUUUGCUACAAUUAAUUGCUAAAAUAUUUUUUUUCUUUCAAAAGAAAGAUGCUGAAUCUAUAGAAUGGAAAGAAUUAGACAUUCGAAACUUCAGUUUUUUUCUUGGUCAAAUGAAUCAAAAUAUAUUAGAAUUUACCCAUUGUCUGUUUGAUUUUGUACUGACGAUUGUCAAAAUACCCCUCAAGCUCCUCAGGCAGCAGCAGCCUGUCACUCACACAGACACAGAGACAGCGCUGUGUAUCUACUUACUUCUUGUGUCAAGAAUCAAAACACUGCAACAUGACGUGUUUGAUUUAAAUGCCUUAAUUGACAUCCCACGUCCUGCGAUGUGAGUAUUGUGCAUGCUCACAUCGCGAUUAUGAUGCUUAAGCGAUAUAUCGUGCAGCCCUAAUCUGGCUACUCUUAUGCAGGUAUACAAAAGCAGUGGUGAAUCUUAGUAAUUCUGACGUACAAUCCUCGCCCUUGUGACAAUGGUGAGAUUGAGUAUUCUUCUUAGUAUCUACUUUAAUCUCAAGUAUUAAUAUUUAUCUCAAAAAGAAUGCUUGUUUAUUAGUACUUACUCUCUUAGUAACCCCGACGAGUACUCAAAUCACAGUGCCUAUCACAAGUAUUCUUGCACAAGCAUCUUUACUGUUCUUACAUCACAUUAAAUUACAUAACAUCACAUUACUCCAGUCGAGUGUUACCGUUUAUUAGCCUUGUUUCUUUCUAAACUCAGAUUGUCAGCGGUGUUUAUGUGGCCUUCAUGUGCAGUACUGGUGCUUUAAUUAUAUGUAAAAUGAUCCAACAUGUACAUUUUAUUUAAUUUUAUUUUACUUUUAGUUUUUUUUUCUCUCUAUGGUGUCAGUUAAAAUCUUUAGGAUGUAUGAAUUUUCAUUUUUAAUCUUUGUGUCCAAGAUGUAUAUUCUUUAAAAUGGGAAAUACUGGAAACCUAUAGGUUUAUAAUUAUACAAAACAUGAAUUAUGUUUGAACUUUUGCCAAAAUAAAUUUAAUUAACUAGAAGAAGAACAAAUUAACUAAAGUUAAUUUAUAAAUGAAAUCUUCCUUUACCUUCUAUGGUGCCCAAUUGUAGCACAAACAAAACUGUAAAUUAUAAAAAUUAUAACAAAACGUUUUUUUUUUUUUUUUUCAUUUUUUGUUUCGUUUUCCUCUUAAAAAUAUAUUUUUCUAAAACAUGGUUUAAUGGAAUCUGUCUACUGGAAAAUACUUGGUUUUAUCAUUGUCAUUAUAUUGUUAUAUCAUAUUCCCGAAAUAGUUGUAUUUUUCACAUUGCUUUACUACAUUCUUUAAUAAUAAAAAAAAGAUUUGUUUUUUCUUCAUGGUGCUAAAUCUGUAAAAAAGAAAAACAAUUAGAAAAAAGCAACAACAGAUUUUAUCAUAUUUUGUUUUUCAGGUCUGAAAAUGUACAAUAUUUCAGCUCACAAUAAAUUGUCAGUUGAUUUAAGUAUUUAUUUUUUAAUCUUUACAAUGAGGUAAAUUAACGUUUAAUAUUUAAAUUCUGUUUUUCUUAAUGGAACAUUUAACAGAAUAUCAGUUUACUUUGGUUUACAUUCAAGUUUUCUAAUUUGUAGACAAUGAAAAACUGACUAAUAAUUUAAUUUUAUGCUAAAUUUUCUAAUUAGAAUUUUCUUUGUUUUUCAUUCUAAAAAUGUAAAUAUUCAUCAAAUUGUCAAUUGAUUAGUUUGUUAGAAGUUAUUUGUUUUCAAGCAAAGUGUUUCAGUUUAUAUUUAAGUUCUUGAAUUUAGUGACAAUAACUUGACAGAUUAAAUUUUAAUUCCUAAGAUAUUUUUUUUUCUUUCAAAAGAAAGAGGCUGAUAUUUAGAAUAAAAGAAAUUAGAAAUUGGAAACCUUAGAUCUAGGAAAUGUAGUUUUUUUUCUUUGGUCUACAACGAAUCAAAAUAUACUGCUAGAAUUUACCCAUUAUUUUUUAAUGUCAGCAAAAUGUUUUGUUCUUUGUCUGUUUAAUUUUGUAUUGAUAAUUGGUAAAAUGAUAUAGGAAAUAUUGGCAGUUUUUGAAUUUUUGAAAAAGAGGGAAAUUUGCACUGUAAAAUAUGUAACAUAAUAUUUAUAAAAAAAUCUUGUCUUUUUUCUUUUUAAAGUCAAAUAGAAAAUUGAAAUCUAAUGAAAUACAAAAUUUACUGAAAAAGGCUGAAAUAUUGGACGUUUACAGAUUAUAUCAUUACACUUACCUUAAUUACAGUUCUGUCAAAUUAUAUACAUCAACAGCAUCAAAUUUACAUUGAAGUAAAAAUUGAGAUGAAAAUCUUUCCUGUGUAAAAACAUUUUUUAUAUUAAUUGUGUACUAGAGUGAUUGAGUUACUGCACUUUGCUUUGUAUUAUUUUGGAGGAUUUGCACUUUAUUUGAGUAUAAUUGAAACUAAAUGCAUUUUUUGGUGAAGUUUGGAUUGGUGAAAUACAUUCUUCUCAUUAUUAUAUUUUGGUGUUGUAGUUCAGGAGACUUCUUAGCACCUUAUAAGGAGAUUUUUUUUGUCUCUUGUCUUUUGAAGUUUUUUUAUUUGUCUCUUUACUAAUUUGUCUUUUUACUUUAUAGACUUGAACUUGUUUAAAUGUGAAUACUUUUGUACUUUCAUUCAGUGAUAUUUUUGACAUGAACUUUGAAUAUUGACUGAAGUCAAUUUAUUUUCCAUCCGUCCUCAUGAGCAACGAAUACUUUACAGCAGUUCUGUUGAUUGAGUACUAUCUAGGGUUGUACGAUGAGGGCUCUGAUUUAAGUAUAUUUGAUCAAUAAUCCUUUUUUUUAACACUUCUGAUGAGUACUUCUCUUAGUGUUUACAGAUACUGUCUCAGUACUUGGAGAAAUACUCUAAGCUUAGUAAUGAACACUGUCUCAUGGUGGUGUAGUGCUGAACCUGGACUUACCGGUAAGAAAUGCUUUUUGUAAUUAAGAACAAAAAGAAACAGGAUCACGGUGAGUACGGUUCAGGUCAUAACGUCACAACUGGGAAACUUGUGAUAUUUCAUACUGCAGAAGAAUGUGCAUGAACUUUUCAUUUUUAUAACUCAUGAAAAACGACAACAAUGCAGACUCUGGAGGGAGGGGCGCGGUGGGAGUGACCUGACCGGUUGCUGCAUGUUUGAUGGAAUACGUGGCGAAAAGGACAAGAGAUACUAAACAAAAAAAAAAAAAACACAAAACACUAAACAUUGUAUUGCUGUGACUUGUUUUAAACUCUUCCAUCCUUUGGGAAGACUGCUGGUGUAAACUUUUACAUGUUAAUAAAAACUUUUAUUUUCAAGAUA